rnacentral:rRNA from 1 species
GGGCUUGACAUCCCACGAACCUGCCCGAAAAGGUGGGGUGCCCGCAAGGGAGCGUGGAGACAGGUGGUGCAUGGCUGUCGUCAGCUCGUGUCGUGAGAUGUUGGGUUAAGUCCCGCAACGAGCGCAUCCCUCACCCCUAGUUGCCACCGGGUUAAGCCGAGCACUCAAGGGGAACUGCCAGCGUCAAGCUGGAGGAAGGCGGGGAUGACGUCAAGUCAUCAUGCCCCUUACGCCCUGGGCUACACACGUGCUACAAUGGCCAGUACAAAGGGACGCGAGACUGCGAAGUGGAGCUAAUCCCAAAAAGCUGGUCUAAGUUCAGAUUGCAGUCUGCAACUCGACUGCAUGAAGGAGGAAUCGCUAGUAAUCGCGUAUCAGCCCGGCGCGGUGAAUACGUUCCCGGGCCUUGUACACACCGCCCGUCACACCACGAAAGCUGUCUGUACUCGAAGUCGCUGAG